rnacentral:rRNA from 1 species
UACGGAGGGUGCGAGCGUUGUCCGGAAUCACUGGGCGUAAAGGGCGCGUAGGCUGUGCUGUAAGUCAGGCGUGAAAGGCCCGGGCUCAACCUGGGAACUGCGUUUGAUACUGCGGCGCUGGAAUGCAGGAGAGGAUGGCGGAAUUCCCAGUGUAGAGGUGAAAUUCGUAGAUAUUGGGAAGAACACCGGUGGCGAAGGCGGCCAUCUGGCCUGCAAUUGACGCUGAGGCGCGAAAGCGUGGGGAGCAAACAGG